CUCAGGGCCACAGUUCACAGCUAACUGAGAGGUUAGUGAUGUUAGCUCAUUAUAAGAACUAUGUUCUAUCUUAUCUCAUUCAGGCUGCUAUAACAAAAACACCAUAGACUAGGUGGCUUACAAACAACAGAAAUUUAUUUACCACAGUUCUGGGGACAGGGAAAUCCAAGAUCAAAGCACAACAGAUGUGGUAUCUGGUGAGGACUCACUUCCUGGUUUACAGAUGGCCAUCUUUUCACUGUAGCCUCACAUGUUGGAAGGGACAAGGGACCUCUCUGGGGUAUCUUUUAUAAGGAUACUACUCCCAUUCACGAGGGCUCCACCUUCAUAACCUAAUCACUUUCCAAAGGCCCCACAUCCUAAUACUAUCACAUUAAGGAUUAGGUUUCAACAUAUUAAUUUUGAGAGGAGGCAAACAUUCAGUCUGCAGCAAGCUCAAUGUUAAGGUCUUCUGGGACCACAGUCUUCUGUACUCCAUUCAGUCAUUAAUCCACCAAUUUAUUUAUUCAUUCAGGCAGUCAGUCAAUUCAUCAAGCAUUUUUUGAAUACCAAAUUUUUCUGAAUGCAUUUUUUGAAUGCCAGGCACUGUGUAAGAACCAUGUAUAUACAACGAGCAAGAGACACAAUCCCUGCCCUAAAGGAUUGUAGUCCAGUGACUUUGUGUCUUCUAAGAGUGAGCCACCUAAGGGCAGUGUUCAGUAAUAGCAAUCAGUUUUCAGUUGUUAUUGCAAUUGAUAUUUCAACUGUGAUAAAAAAUUCUGUGAAUUAAUCUUUCAAAAGAAUCACGUCUCCCUUUCAUCAGUCCUUUUUGUAUCAAAAAAUACGGAGGUUUGAAUAUAUAGAGUGCUCUAAGAAUUCUCUUCAGAACUCUACUAAAUGACCUGGAUCCAUUCUUUUGUCAGUAAAACAAAUACCUUCAAGAGAGGAGUAAAGGAGUUUAGAAAUCAAGAUUAUCAAGGAGACAAUAAACAGAAAUUCCUUUUAUUUUACUGGAGGUCUCUGAUCCUGGACAAAAAUGGUAAACAGCAGAGACUGAAAAGUACAAAGUAAGGAAAACUGACAAGAUGUUUGCUUUACACAGAAAGGUACUUCUAGUGUCCUGUUAUUACCAUUUCUUUGGAAGAAAAAGGAAGUGCCUAGACCAUUGAAAACGUUUUUUUGUUCAGAAAAGAAUUCCUAAAUAAAUACUAAACACACUUCUCAUUAUUUAAUUUGGAAUGUGCUGGGCUGACUGAAUGUUUUUAGAAGCUCUUUUCUUAAGAAAUUCUACUGAAAUCAUAGGGACAUUCUUUGAUAAAGACUUCCCCAUAACAAAUUUCUAGAGAUAUGCAGAAGGAGCAGCACUUUUACUUUUCUGAUUUAGAAAGUACUCCAACUGCCUGCAUUAAUCACAAUGCUUAUAUAAUUGAAACUAUUUCUUUUUUAAAUUAAAUGGAGUGAGGAAAAGAGACCCUCCUGCCCUGGAGCCUGGUCUACUUUUCCAGUCUAAUUUUCUAUCACCCGCCACUACAUACACACCCUGUACUCCAGUUAUACCAUUCUAUGUGAAGUCCCUGAACAAGGCAAGCUGAAAACACAAAUGGCAGAAAUAUUUGAACAAUUUCCUGGGCUUAUUAAGGGAUAGCCAGGGUGACGGCAGCAGAGCCAUGGCAGGCAACCAUGCUCUUCUUAUAUUAAAUAAGACUCAGACAUAUAUACCAUUAGGGAUCCUUGACUCAUUAUCUUUCUGAUCAAUACUUCCACAAAAUAUUCAUUCCUUUGGCCACACAUUUUGCCUGUGGGCUAGGAGUUAAACAUUCCCUCUCCAGACUUAUUCAAGGAGCUAAUUGUCUUCUACCCAGACUAUGGAAAUGGUCUCCUAACCUCUUCCCCAUUGGGUCCACUCUCUACACUGAAGCUAAAAUUGCCUUUCUAAAAUGCAAAUCUGAUUAUUUAAAAAGAAAAUUCUUUAAUGGCUUGCCAUUGCUUGCAGCGAUUUCUAAGCAGAGGGUACCCCCUCCCUGCCCCACCUCACCCCAGGGAGUAAACAUAUGGAAUAUGGGGGGCAUAUCAGAGCCAUCUCAGGGAUUUUUCAAAGUUUCACAUACACACAGGUAUAUGUGGCAUCAUCAACACCCCUCACCCAUGUCCCUUUUGCUCCCAUACACAUUUCCUAUCCCAUGAAAAUCGCUGCCAUGCUUGUUGAGUGAUGGGUGUUAUGUUGUAGCCCUCAGUUAUGCUGAGGCAUAAAAAUGGUUGAGCAGCCUCAUGGCAGAAUAAAGUCCAGAUUCCUUAGCAUGUCCUACAAAGUCCUGCACAAUAGCCUCCCUGCUUGCCUUUUCAGUUUCAUCUUCACCCAUUCUCCAUCACACACCCUGUGGGCCAACACCACCAGUCUGGAGAAUUCCUGAACCAGGUUUGCUUUUUCGUACUUUUUUCUUUAUUCUAUUCCAUUUACCCAGAAUGCACUUCUCCUCUCACACAGCUAGUAAAUUUCUGUUUAACCUUUAAGAAGGCACCAACAAUUACAUCUUCAGCCACAGCCUGCCCCUGGAUUCCAGGCUGGUACAUCUCCACUUGGAUUUUUAGAAAGUAUCUUAAACUUAACAUGGCUAAAACAACCUCCUGGACCCGCUUCCUACUACUUAUUCCUCCUGCAGUCAGCCACAUCUCAGUUCAUUGCAACUGACUCCCCAACUCAUAAUCCAAGUCUUUGCUGCAGUCUGUGAGAGCAUGUAUGAUCUGAUCCUAUUCCUAUCACCCUCCCCUCCCCCACUCUGCUCUAGCCACACUGGCCUCCUAGUCCUAAAUACACCAAACACAUACUGAGCUCAGGGCCUUCGAACUGCUGUUCUAUCUGGAAUGCUCCUCUCUCUUAGAUGUCCCUGUGAUUCAUUCCCUUAUUUCUUUCAAGUGUCUGAUCAUAAGUAAUCACAUCAGAAACCACUGUUUAUGGGACAGUACCAAUUCACCAUCACCUUACAUCCCCUCCCCUUGCUUUAUUCUCCACAGUACUUACCACUACUUGACAUCCUGCACUAUUACUGUUAUUAUUUGCUCCCACUAGAACAUAAACUAUACAAGGGCCAGCUUUUAUUAUUCCUAUUCUCUACCAUAUCUUCAGUUCCUAAAACAAUACUUGGCAUAUAGUAGAUGCUCUGUAAACAUGUUAUUGUCAUUCGUUAUUUGUUAACUCAACUGAAAAGUGCUGUGGGACUUCCAUUUAAACAUACUGCACUCAAUAUAUAAAUUUCCUUCAGUUCCUUCCUAAAACCCCAUUAAAUUAACAGCAAAUAGAUUUUCAAAAUGACACAGAGAAUGGAAGUGGAGACAUCAAUAAAGCCUAACCUGAUCACCACAUUUAAAAUUAUGGCCUCCUCUUCCCAGUCUCCUUACCCUGACUUUUCCUUCCAUAGCACCUAUUAUCUUCCAAUAAGUAUAAAGAAUGGGUAAGAGAGCUAAAGCUUCAUUAGUAGGCAGUUUUAGACCUUAUUGUAAACAAGUACACAAUAUAUGUAACAGCCAAAAGAAUUAGAAAUUGGUUACUUCUGGGAAGUACAAACUAAGAAUGAGAGGGGAAGGGACAGAUAAUUUAUUGUUUUGUUUUUUAAAUAAGGCUUCUAGUACUAUACUUUUUCAAUCAUGUAUGUUCAUAAUUUAUGCCAAAUAAAACUUCAAUUAAAAAAAUCCCAAAACCAAGAGGGAAACUGUAUAUGCAAGAAGAAAAGUCAUAAUGCAACUUUGUCUAUUUUUAUUCUUCACAUAGUGACUAUGUCUUGUUUAACAGAAUUUGAACAUAUUAAAAUAGAUGACCAAAUACUAAAUAUUUAGACUAUGUAGUGGAACACAUGAUUUAUAUCAGUCAUUUCUUGAAAACUUAUGAGUACUUCAUUGACAUUACAUGCAUAAAGCAAAUAUCUAGCUGAAACAUUGCUGAAAAAAAAAUACGUCAUUUUGCCAGUAAAUUAAAUAAACUGCAGAAAGAAACUACUUCUCAACAUGAAAGUAAAGAGAAGAGAAUCAAGGCAAUGGGCUUUGCCACAGACAGGGAAUACACAGCGAACAGGGAAAGGAUCAGGCCCCCCUUGCUUGAGGCUUGCUUUCCUCAUCUGUAGAUUUAGGGGUCUCAAUCAGGUCAUCUCAAGUUCCCUAAACUUGCUUAAAAAGCAUCAAACUUUGAGUUAGACCUUCAGACUUCCCUAACUCCUUUUUUCCUGAAUUAAGCUAUGACAAAGAUGACCAUAUGUCCCAGUUCACCUAGUAUAAUCUCGAUUUAUAUCUGUUGUCCUGGAAUAACAAUUAAUUGCUCCUCCUUUAACUCUCAAAGGUAUCUCCAGUCGGAAGAUAAAUUACAUGCCCCUCAUACCUAUGACUAUAUUCAUUUUAAUCUUGGUUUAGAUUUUUAAGAAAACACACUAAUUUACUUUUAAGCCUACAAAUAUAGCAUUUCAUAGCUUGCUUUCUCUUAACACUUGGAGAAAUUUCAGAUUCUUUUGUGAGUGGUUUGUGAACUAUCAAAAAUUUUUUUAACUUGGCCGGGCAUGAUGACCUAUGCCUCUAAUCCCAGUACUUUGGAAGGCUGAGGCAGAAGAAUCGCUUAAGAUGGGAAGUUUGCGGCUGCAGUGAGCUACGAUCACGCCACUACACUUCAGCCUGGGUGAUGCAGAAAGGACCGUGUCUCUAGAAAUAAAAAUAAUUUUUUAAAAACUGAGUAAGUCAAAUGUAAAUUUUCCUUUUCAAAAACAAAUUAUUCAGUAUGCAAAACAUUCUGUUAAGACAUAUUUUCUGAUAACCUUAGAAUACGUGGUACUUAAAAACUAUGACUAAAAUAUUUGUGGAAGAAUUCAUUAUCUUAGGUGAUACAUUUUAACAAUUAAAAUAGUUCCAGAACACGGUCUUCCACCUGACUUUGACGAUUAAAACAAUGUUGUCAAAAGAAUGUUCUCUCUGAAAAUUCUGGGUCUCAUCCACCACCAUAGGUCUCAUCUACCAUCAACUGAAAUAAGCUAAUCAGUUAUAAACAAGGGAAUAUACUUAAAAAAAAAAAAAAGAGAGAAACACGGUCUCACUCUGUCUCCAAGGCUGGAGUGCAGUGGCACAGUCAUAGCUCACUGCAGCACAGAACUCCUAAGCUCAGGCAAUACUCCCACCUCAGCUUCCCAGGAAUAUACCACUUUUACUGCACUGACAAGCUCUGUAUGCUAGUGAUUCUCAAAUUUUCUUUAAGGCUAGGACCAAGAGUCCUGCCAAUCCCCUGAACAACAGCUCACAUAUUAUCAAAUGAACUUGAAACAUUCCUGUCAUAGUGAGCAGCAUUGAAACAGAUUCCAUAACUGAUUACUCAGUUUCAAGGGAGAUUUAACAUUGCUUUGUUUUCAAGUUACAAAAAGUUCCCUAGUUUUACUCAAAUAUGCACUAUCCCUGAUUAAAAAAAACAUGUUUCAUUAUGAAGAGGGGUGAUUUGUUUCAGCAUUUUUUUUUUUCACUUAACCACUUAAGUCACUGCCUGAGGAAGUUUCUUUUUAAGGAAAUAAAUACCAGGUUCAUUAGAAGAAAAAAAAAAAACACAUAAUUUUAAUUCAUUUUGUUUUAAAGAUGCGUAUUUUAAAAAGACUACUUUAAAAUGAACUAAUAUGUUACACUGGAUCAUGCUGUGGCGACUAACGUAUUGUCAAGCCUUAACCUAAUGAAAACAAAAGAAAAGCGAGUUUGGCACUCACUUGCACUUUUCAUCUCUGUUAGAAAGUAUGUCUCAGUUUGGAUCUGAGAUCAGGUUUGCUUGGUAACCUCAAAGAAUAAUUUUCCUUUUUUUUUUCUUUCAAAAUUUCCUUUUGAUCAUUUCAGACAGUUCAUCCUUUUGAGUGAGAAAGAGUAAAAGAGAGGAAUGUUGAGUGAGGUUAAGUAAAUGGAGAAUCUGUCACAUAAAGCAAGUUUAAAUCCUAGUAAGAGCAUCCAUGCAGGACAAACGGAAGCAUUAUUCUUUUGAAAACAUUAUUCUUUUAAACAGUGUGUAAUGACAUCCUCCCUAGAGACUUUCCAUGAGAGGGGAAAAAAAUUACUUCCUCAGAAGUCGUUUUCUAGAUUCCAAGCAUAAUAAGUGAAGCACAGUUAAAAGUCAAACUUGUGUUUUCUUUAUGCAAGAAGGUUCAAAUUAGAACUGCAGAAAGGUACUUAAAAGUUUCUCUAGCUUGUCUUUUGGUUACAUACUGGUAUUGCUGUGAACUAAAAGAGCAAGUAAGAGGAAAGGUUACUGUUGUUACUUUACACCUAUAAAUCAGUGAGUGUGUCCUUACUGUAAAAUUUGAGCUGAACAUAUUUUGUUUCAAAGGAGAAAUAUAUGACUCAAAUAUGCUGAAUGUAUGAUAAUUUAUUAAGUUCCUUUUAAGUAUAUCAUUUUCUUAUGCUCAAGUAGAAACUAUGGAUUAUUUUUCUAGUAUUCUAUGCUGCUGUUACCUUCUGAGGAGUUGAUUGAAAAUUUUAUGCUUUUAAAAGUUGGGUGCUACUUAAAUAUCAGAAUUGGCUAUUGUUUUAAAUAUUUAAAAUAUGCUUAAACAACAAUUAAGGUUAAUAAGCAGAGAAAAUACUUCUUUUGAUUCAAACACUACUUUAUAUAUUUAAUGAAUACACGUCCAAAUAAAGAUCUCUCUUCAAAAAUUUUGGAAAAUGUUAAUGCAUUUUGAAUAUAAUGGAACAAAGAAGAAGAAUACUAGAGAAAAUUCACAAUUAUGAUGUUUAUUUAGGAAAAUAAACUUGAAGAAGGUUU
rnacentral:lncRNA from 10 species